rnacentral:rRNA from 1 species
CGAACGCUGGCGGCGUGCUUAACACAUGCAAGUCGAACGGAGAGGCCCUGCUUUUGUGGGGUGCUCGAGUGGCGAACGGGUGAGUAACACGUGAGUAACCUGCCCUUGACUUUGGGAUAACUUCAGGAAACUGGGGCUAAUACCGGAUAGGAGCUCCUGCUGCAUGGUGGGGGUUGGAAAGUUUCGGCGGUUGGGGAUGGACUCGCGGCUUAUCAGCUUGUUGGUGGGGUAGUGGCUUACCAAGGCUUUGACGGGUAGCCGGCCUGAGAGGGUGACCGGCCACAUUGGGACUGAGAUACGGCCCAGACUCCUACGGGAGGCAGCAGUGGGGAAUAUUGCACAAUGGGCGGAAGCCUGAUGCAGCAACGCCGCGUGCGGGAUGACGGCCUUCGGGUUGUAAACCGCUUUCGCCUGUGACGAAGCGUGAGUGACGGUAAUGGGUAAAGAAGCACCGGCUAACUACGUG